rnacentral:rRNA from 1 species
UGCUUAACACAUGCAAGUCGAACGGCAGCAUGGUGUGUAGCAAUACACAUUGAUGGCGAGUGGCGGACGGGUGAGUAACGCGUAGGAAUCUGCCUUGAAGAGGGGGACAACUAGAGGAAACUCUAGCUAAUACCGCGUAAUAUCGAGAGAUUAAAGGUGCCCGCAAGGGUGCCACUUCAAGAGGAGCCUGCGUCCGAUUAGCUAGUUGGUAGGGUAAAAGCCUACCAAGGCGAUGACCGGUAACUGGUCUGAGAGGACGACCAGUCACACUGGGACUGAGACACGGCCCAGACUCCUACGGGAGGCAGCAGUGGGGAAUAUUGGACAAUGGGGGCAACCCUGAUCCAGCAAUGCCGCGUGUGUGAAGAAGGCCUUCGGGUUGUAAAGCAC